rnacentral:rRNA from 1 species
ACUGGAAACGGUAGCUAAUACCGCAUAACCUCGCAAGAGCAAAGAGGGGGACCUUCGGGCCUCUCGCCAUCAGAUGUGCCCAGAUGGGAUUAGCUAGUAGGUGAGGUAAUGGCUCACCUAGGCGACGAUCCCUAGCUGGUCUGAGAGGAUGACCAGCCACACUGGAACUGAGACACGGUCCAGACUCCUACGGGAGGCAGCAGUGGGGAAUAUUGCACAAUGGGCGCAAGCCUGAUGCAGCCAUGCCGCGUGUGUGAAGAAGGCCUUCGGGUUGUAAAGCACUUUCAGCGGGGAGGAAGGCGACAAGGUUAAUAACCUUGUCGAUUGACGUUACCCGCAGAAGAAGCACCGGCUAACUCCGUGCCAGCAGCCGCGGUAAUACGGAGGGUGCAAGCGUUAAUCGGAAUGACUGGGCGUAAAGCGCACGCAGGCGGUCUGUUAAGUUGGAUGUGAAAUCCCCGGGCUUAACCUGGGAACUGCAUUCAAAACUGACAGGCUAGAGUCUUGUAGAGGGGGGUAGAAUUCCAGGUGUAGCGGUGAAAUGCGUAGAGAUCUGGAGGAAUACCGGUGGCGAAGGCGGCCCCCUGGACAAAGACUGACGCUCAGGUGCGAAAGCGUGGGGAGCAAACAGGAUUAGAUACCCUGGUAGUCCACGCUGUAAACGAUGUCGACUUGGAGGUUGUGCCCUUGAGGCGUGGCUUCCGGAGCUAACGCGUUAAGUCGACCGCCUGGGGAGUACGGCCGCAAGGUUAAAACUCAAAUGAAUUGACGGGGGCCCGCACAAGCGGUGGAGCAUGUGGUUUAAUUCGAUGCAACGCGAAGAACCUUACCUACUCUUGACAUCCAGAGAAUUUGCUAGAGAUACCUUAGUGCCUUCGGGAACUGUGAGACAGGUGCUGCAUGGCUGUCGUCAGCUCGUGUUGUGAAAUGUUGGGUUAAGUCCCGCAACGAGCG